GUAGUUUUUGUCUCCUACAGAUCGUGUCUUGUACCCACAUCCUCCUCGCUCCGUGUCUGAUCAGGAAAUAAACCAUCUCAAAUAUAAAACAUUCAUAAAAAGUAACAGAGAAGUGUCAGUCAUACAGCGGACCUUGUCAACAGACUGUUGUCAUGGAGACAGGACGGACAUGCAGCGCUUUUCUUCUCAGUGCACAAACGCUUCGUAUCAGAGCAUACGGCCUGAAACAAAAAACCGCUAGGUGGACACGGGGCCUUGAUUAGAGUCUGACCAAUCAAUCGGCCAAUCAAUCAGAAUAUUUUCAUUUAGCAAAAUCAACGACCUUUCUGACUUUAUUCUCAAAAAAUGUAACUUCUUCUUGCGACUGAUUCUGCAUCUUUCUCUCCGAUAAUAAUAAUUGAAAAUGGGAGUUUGAUCCUCGUCUGAGUGGACGUCAGAUCGUUUCGCUGCUUCAGCUUCAGGUUUUAAGUCUGGACAAAAUAAAACAUGAAAUGUUAAAGGUUCAGUGUUUCUGUCCUGCAGCCAAAGGCCCGAUCUGAUCCUCGAGUCCAUCGCAGAUUUGAUUUUAACUCAUCUUCUGUCCUUCCGUUUAUCCGCCCGUCUGCUCGCUGAGAAUCUGUUCAGCACACAGAGACUCUGGUGAAUCCUUCAGCUUUGAGUUUGAAGGGUUAGGAGUUCCUCUGAGGGGAUUAAACCGCACGUAAACAACAAAACAAAGCUGUCUGUUCGCCUCGACCUUUUCUAACCCCGAGGAAACUUGCAGGGAGGAGGUGAGCUUCAUUAUCUCCUUGCCAAGCAGAUGGCCUCGUCUCAGGAGCACGAGGCGGUUUGUGUGUGUUUGUGUUUCUAACAAAGACUCGUCAGUCUCUUUAAGUUAUUUCAUCCAUCGACGGUAGAGACUCUUGUCUCUCAUCGUCUCUUGUCCUCAGCACAAAAUGGUCGACCUGAACGCUCGUCAAUGAUUUUGAAGAACGAGUCCGCAGCUUCCCACAACUCGAUGUGACACUUCAGUAGAUAUGGCUUUGUUUGGAAACUGUCUCAAACUGCAGAGAGUUAUAAAUCAGAGAAAAGAUUCAAACAGAUCACAUCACUGAAGUCUUGGUUUGUUUUUGUGGCUUUUCUUUUGUCAUGAAAAUUGUUGCCAAAUGAUUAAAUCUCAAAGAGUCUGUGGUUAAA